rnacentral:rRNA from 1 species
AGAGUUUGAUCAUGGCUCAGAUUGAACGCUGGCGGCAGGCUUAACACAUGCAAGUCGAGCGAGAAAGGCCUUUGGGCUGAGUAAAGCGGCGGACGGGUGAGUAACGCGUAGGAAUCUACCUGGUAGUGGGGGACAACAUGUGGAAACGCAUGCUAAUACCGCAUACGCCCUAUGGGGGAAAGCGGGGGACCUUCGGGCCUCGUGCUAUCAGAUGAGCCUGCGUUAGAUUAGCUAGUUGGUGAGGUAAAGGCUCACCAAGGCGACGAUCUAUAGCUGGUCUGAGAGGAUGAUCAGCCACACUGGGACUGAGACACGGCCCAGACUCCUACGGGAGGCAGCAGUGGGGAAUAUUGCGCAAUGGGGGCAACCCUGACGCAGCCAUGCCGCGUGUGUGAAGAAGGCCUUAGGGUUGUAAAGCACUUUCAAUUGGGAAGAAAGGUUGUCCGUUAAUAACGGUCAGCUGUGACAUUACCUUUAGAAGAAGCACCGGCUAACUCCGUGCCAGCAGCCGCGGUAAUAC